UACAGAAGAAUCCUCAUCCUCCAUCUUGUAGACGUCUCCUUCAUCUGCCCUAAACAUCUCCACCAGCUAUGAAGACUUCUGCUGUCCUGCUCGUCCUCGCAGCCGUCCUUCUCCUAUCACAAGCUGUUCCAGAUGCCAGAUGUGUGUUACCUGCGAAAACUGGACCAUGUCAUGCAUUAAUUGAAAGAUAUUACUAUGAUAGAAAGACAGCCAAAUGUACCACUUUUAUGUAUGGCGGAUGCAAGGGAAAUUGGAACAAUUUUAAGACAAUGUCAGACUGUAUGAAAGCCUGCAAGAAAUAAUAAGGUUCUGUGAUUUCCCCGUGACAGAUCUUCCUGUCACACUUACAGACAUCACUUGGAAAAUCCUCUGUGACUGAUGUUACAUGUUAUGUGGAUAUAAUAAAGAGAUAUA